UACAGAGGUCCCAAGCGUUGUUCGGAUUCAUUGGGCGUAAAGGGUGCGUAGGCGGCGCGGUAAGUCGGGUGUGAAAUCUCGGGGCUUAACUCCGAAACUGCAUUCAAUACUGCCGUGCUUGAGGACUGGAGAGGAGACUGGAAUUUACGGUGUAGCGGUGAAAUGCGUAGAUAUCGUAAGGAAGACCAGUGGCGAAGGCGGGUCUCUGGACAGUUCCUGACGCUGAGGCACGAAGGCCAGGGGAGCAAACGGG
rnacentral:rRNA from 1 species